GCAACUCCCUGUUUAGUAGAGCUAGCUAAAAAGAACAGACCACUGUCAGAAGCAAGAGGAGCUGCUAAGGAAACCUGCUAUAAGUGGAUAUGGCUUCUUUUGAGGAAGCUGUGGCCUCUCCAGAGCAUGAACCCAAACUACAAGGGUCAAAGACAGAGGUCUACAGGAAUAUGCAAUCCCCAGACAAUCUAAGAAUUCUCCAUGACUUUUUAAAUCCUUUCAUUUACAGGUGAAUUUAAGAUGUUUCUUACUCUUGAUCAGAGUUCUAUAAAUCCAUGGCUGCACCAUGGAAUGUGAAGAUAUAGAUCAAAGCCUUGAUUUUAACAGGAUUGAAAUCAGAAGAAAUGUAUCUGGAGAUCUGAUGUGAAAAGAAGUGGAGACAUAGAAAAUGGAAAAUUAAAAAAGAGCAUUUGUAGAAAACUAAAAUAUGUAUGAUUAAAUAAUUCUUAAAAUGUUUGAUGAAAUGUACAUAAUCACUAUGAUAUUUCCAGAUUUCUGAAUGCCUGCAUUCUUAUGUCUGAACUGAAAGACUA